rnacentral:rRNA from 1 species
AUUGAACGCUGGCGGCAGGCCUAACACAUGCAAGUCGAGCGGAGGGGCGGACGGGUAAGGAAUGCAUAGGAAUCUGCCUGGUAGUGGGGGAUAAGGUCCGGAAACGGGCGCUAAUACCGCAUACUAUCAGAUGAGGCUAGGUCGGAUUAGCACGUUGGUGGGGUAAGGGCCUACCAAGGCGAAGGUCCGUAUCUGGUGUGAGAGGAUGAGCAGGCACACUGUGACUGAGACACGGUCCAGACUCCUACGGGAGGCAGCAGUGGGGAAUAUUGGACAAGUGGCGAAAGCCUGAUCCAGCCAUGCCGCGUGUGUGAAGAAGGUCUUCGGAUUGUAAAGCACUUUAAGUUGGGAGGCGUUACCAACAGAAGAAGCACCGGCUAACUUCGUGCCAGCAGCCGCGGUAAUAC